rnacentral:lncRNA from 1 species
CCAAUUUAAGAGCUGAAAUUUCCCUUAAAUAAAAUUGUUAACCAAAAAAGAUGACUGAGCAUGAUUACUAACAUCCAAUUUGACUUGUUUUCAUUGGAAUAGGUACAACUUCUAAAAUUUGGAUUUCUGAUGAUUCUCUGUAAUAGGAAGUACACCACUAAUUCAUGGUCCCAUUACUUUCUAUGUUAAAUUCCUCCAUUUA